AUGCACGCUGGCGGCGUGCCUAAUACAUGCAGGUCGAGCGAACAGACGAGGAGCUUGCUCCUCUGACGUUAGCGGCGGACGGGUGAGUAACACGUGGAUAACCUACCUAUAAGACUGGGAUAACUUCGGGAAACCGGAGCUAAUACCGGAUAAUAUAUUGAACCGCAUGGUUCAAUAGUGAAAGACGGUUUUGCUGUCACUUAUAGAUGGAUCCGCGCCGCAUUAGCUAGUUGGUAAGGUAACGGCUUACCAAGGCAACGAUGCGUAGCCGACCUGAGAGGGUGAUCGGCCACACUGGAACUGAGACACGGUCCAGACUCCUACGGGAGGCAGCAGUAGGGAAUCUUCCGCAAUGGGCGAAAGCCUGACGGAGCAACGCCGCGUGAGUGAUGAAGGUCUUCGGAUCGUAAAACUCUGUUAUUAGGGAAGAACAAAUGUGUAAGUAACUAUGCACGUCUUGACGGUACCUAACCAGAAAGCCACGGCUAACUACGUG
rnacentral:rRNA from 1 species